rnacentral:rRNA from 1 species
GAUGAACGCUGGCGGCGUGCUUAACACAUGCAAGUCGAACGGAGAAAGGGUAGCUUGCUAUCUUUUCUUAGUGGCGGACGGGUGAGUAACGCGUGGGUAACCUGCCCUUUGCAGGGGGAUAACAGUGAGAAAUCACUGCUAAUACCGCAUACCAACUUCUUUCGCAUGAAAGAAGUUUGAAAGAUUUAUCGGCAAAGGAUGGACCCGCGUUGGAUUAGCUAGUUGGUGAGAUAACAGCCCACCAAGGCAACGAUCCAUAGCCGGCCUGAGAGGGUGAACGGCCACACUGGGACUGAGACACGGCCCAGACUCCUACGGGAGGCAGCAGUGGGGAAUAUUGCACAAUGGGCGAAAGCCUGAUGCAGCGACGCCGCGUGAAGGAUGAAGGUCUUCGGAUUGUAAACUUCUAUCAGCAGGGAAGAAAGGGCCUAUGGCCUAUGACGGUACCUGACUAAGAAGCCCCGGCUAACUACGUGCCAGCAGCCGCGGUAAACAUACUCG